UGGAAUGUAGCUCAGUUGGUAGAGCAGGCGACUGUUAAUCGCCCGGUCGCAGGUUCGAGCCCUGCCAUUCCAG
rnacentral:tRNA from 1 species